GUGGGUAUGGGGCCGUCGGACCGGGGCCCGAAUACGGUGGAGGGUUCCCUUGGUUCAUCAGGGACCUGCAGAGUGUACCUUUCCACGCAC